rnacentral:rRNA from 1 species
GACGUAGGGUCCAAGCGUUGUCCGGAUUUACUGGGCGUAAAGGGCGCGUAGGCGGGCCCGUAUGUCGAUUGUGAAAGCCCUGGGCUUAACCCGGGAAUGGCAGUCGAAACUGCGGGUCUUGAGUGCCUGAGAGGAUGGCGGAAUUCCCGGUGUAGAAGUGAAAUUCGUAGAUAUCGGGAAGAACACCUGAGGCGAAGGCGGCUAUCUGGCGGUGCACUGACGCUGAGGCGCGAAAGCGUGGGGAGCAAACAGG